UUGAAGCCAGAAGUUGACAUUCACUGUGCAAAAAGACAUUACAUUUUUCUCUCACUGAAGUCAAAUCAGACUAAACCUCUUAUGUUUCAGGUCAGUCAGAAUCACCAAAAUUAUUUAUUUUGUUAAUAUCCAGAGUAAUGAGAGACAAAAUUUCUGAGCAAAUUUUAUAUUGCAGUAUUUUCUUUGAGGUCAAACGUUUACAUACAUUUCCUUACUCUGGAGCAGCAUUUUAUUUGUGCUGCAUGACUUGGGGUGAACGUUUUGGGUAACCUUCCACAAGGUUCUGACAGUACUCUGUUGGAAUCCUGGCUCUUUCCUCCUGACAGAACUGGUGUAACUGAGUCAGGUUUGUCGGUUCUCUUGGUCACGCAUGCCUUUUCAGAUUUGCCCACAAAUUUUCAAUGAGAUUCAGAUCAGGGCUUUGUGAUGGGCCAAGAUAUUGAUUUUUUUUUUUUUUUUUUCAAUCCUCAAUAAUCCAACUUUUAACCAUUUCGACAGUAUGUUUCGGGUCAUUUUCCAUUUGCUUCCAAAUGCUUCCAAACCCAUUUGCGGCCAUGUUUUAGCUUCCUGGCUGAUGUCUUGAGAUGUUGCCUGAAUAGCAAUGUGAUCCUGUCUAUUUUAUGAAGAGCUCCAGUUCCUCCUACAGCAAAACAGCCCCACAAAUGAUACUGCCACCACCAUGCUCCACAGUUGGUAUGGUGUUCUGAGGUCUACAAGCUUCCUCCUUGUCCCCACAAAUGUAACAUUGGCCAUUAUAGCCAAAAGGAGUAACGGCCCAGCACUCCCACAAGGGUUUGUGAGGAUAAGCAGCUCAGAAAAUCGAUGGAUGGCUUCAUUCUGGCAUAUUCACAAGAUCUUUUGUUCUGGGGUUGAUUUUCACAUUCGCAACAGAGGCCAUCCCCUUCCUGAGUGAUGUGAUGGCUGGACAUUCCCAUGAUGAUUAUACUUGUGUGUAAUUAUUUGAACAGAUGAACGUGAUACCUUAAAGCAUCGGGUAAUUGCACCCAAGGAUGAGCUAGCCUUGUGAAGCUCCACGAUUCUUUCUCUGAUAUCCUGGCUGAUUUCUUUUGAUUUUCCCAUCAUUUCAAACAAGGAAGCAGAGUGUUUGAGGUGUGGCCUUAAAUACAUCCACAGGUGCGUGAUCAAUUAACUCAGUUUGUCAGUUAACCUAUCAGGAGCUUCCAAAGACAUGACCUCAUUAUCUAGACUUCCCGAUAUCCUUUAAAGACAUAGUACCUUUAUUGUAUGUAAACUUUUGACCAUGAAGAAAAUACCGUAAUAUCAAAUACUCUCUCUCUCAUUAUUGUGGCAUUUUACAAAAUUAAAUUAAUAAUUCAUCCAUCUAUCCAUUUUCAUAGCUGCUUAU